AGGAUAAACGCUGGCGGCGUGCCUAACACAUGCAAGUCGAACGCCCUACGCAAGUAGGGAGUGGCGGACGGGUGAGGAACACGUGGGUUAUCUGCCUUUCGGUGAGGAAUACCAGCGAGAAAUCGCUGACAAUACCGCAUACGGUUCUUUCGAGAGAGAGAACGAAAGUCGCAAGACGCCGGGAGAUGAGCCUGCGCCCGAUUAGUUAGUUGGUGGGGUAAAAGCCUACCAAGACUGCAAUCGGUAGCUGGUCUGAGAGGACGAUCAGCCACACUGGGAUUGAGAACGGCCCAGACUCCUACGGGGGGCAGCAGUGAGGAAUUUUCGUCAAUGGGGGGAACCCUGAACGAGCAACGCCGCGUGCAGGAAGAAGGUUUUCGGAUCGUAAACUGCUUUUCUGUGGGAAGAGAACGGACGGUACCACAGGAAGAAGCCCCGGCUAACUACGCGCCAGCAGCCGC
rnacentral:rRNA from 1 species